GAAUUGUUCGCAAUGGGCGCAAGCCUGACGACGCAACGCCGCGUGGAGGAUGAAGAUCUUCGGGUCGUAAACUCCUUUCGAUCGAGACGAACGGCUUCCGGGUAAACAAUCCGGGAGAUUGACGGUACCGAGAGAAGAAGCCCCGGCUAACUCCGUGCCAGCAGCCGCGGUAAUACGGAGGGUGCAAGCGUUAUCCGGAUUCACUGGGUUUAAAGGGUGCGUAGGAGGGCAGGUAAGUCAGUGGUGAAAUCUCCGAGCUUAACUCGGAAACUGCCGUUGAUACUAUCUGUCUUGAAUACCGUGGAGGUGAGCGGAAUAUGUCAUGUAGCGGUGAAAUGCUUAGAUAUGACAUAGAACACCAAUUGCGAAGGCAGCUCGCUACACGAAUAUUGACUCUGAGGCACGAAAGCGUGGGGAUCAAAC
rnacentral:rRNA from 1 species